UACAGAGGGGGCAAGCGUUGUUCGGAAUUACUGGGCGUAAAGGGCGCGUAGGCGGCCUGUUAAGUCGAACGUGAAAUCCCCGGGCUCAACCCGGGAACUGCGUCCGAUACUGGCAGGCUUGAAUCCGGGAGAGGGAUGCGGAAUUCCAGGUGUAGCGGUGAAAUGCGUAGAUAUCUGGAGGAACACCGGUGGCGAAGGCGGCAUCCUGGACCGGUAUUGACGCUGAGGCGCAAAAGCCAGGGGAGCAAACGGG
rnacentral:rRNA from 1 species